rnacentral:sRNA from 12 species
CGCCAUAAGGGAUAGUAUUACCCUUAUGGCGACAAUGUAGCAUGCAGCA